GGCUGAAACCCGCCUCCAUGAAGUUGGAUUCGCUAGUAAUCGCGCAUCAGCCAUGGCGCGGUGAAUACGUUCCCGGGCCUUGUACACACCGCCCGUCAAGCCAUGGGAGCCGGGGGUGCCUGAAGUUCGUGACCGCAAGGAGCGACCUAGGGCAAAACCGGUGACUGGGGCUAAGUCGUAACAAGGUACC
rnacentral:rRNA from 1 species